UACGUAGGGGGCGAGCGUUGUCCGGAUUCACUGGGCGUAAAGCGCGUGCAGGCGGCCCGGUAAGUCCGCUGUGAAAGUCCAGGGCUCAACCCUGGGAUGCCGGUGGAUACUGUCGGGCUCGAGUCCGGAAGAGGCGAGUGGAAUUCCUGGUGUAGCGGUGAAAUGCGCAGAUAUCAGGAGGAACACCAAUGGCGAAGGCAGCUCGCUGGGACGUGACUGACGCUGAGACGCGAAAGCGUGGGGAGCAAACAGG
rnacentral:rRNA from 1 species